rnacentral:lncRNA from 1 species
CUGUUACUGAUAAAACUAGCUUGAUGAGGUCCAUGUCUAAACAUGCUUUAAGACCUAGCACUGCAGGUGCUCUAGUGUCAACAACGUAAAAGUCCAACAUCAUGUCACUUUCCUUGUAUUUGCAUUUGAAAGUGCAUGUGCCUUUUACUGGGAGCUGUUCACCACCAUAACCAUUCAGUCUGCGCAUGGUGGGCUGUAGCUCGCUGCGGUACUUAUUCAGAGGAAUAAUGUUUACUUGUGCACCAGUGUCUAGUUUGAACUUUAGCUUUGUGCCUUGUGUUCCUAUCUCAAUGUCAGCAAAGGCUUGCUCUGUCUCUGAUAUGUGACUUUUCUGUGUCACUGAAUCAAUAAACAGUUCAUCAUCAUUUGACUCUUUGAGUGACAUUUCAUCUUCACUCACUGUGUGUACUGUUUUUUCACGGUAAGCUCUGCACACUUUUGCAAAGUGAUUCCAUUUACCACAUUUAGUACACUGUUUGCCUUUAGCUGGGCAAUUUCCUUGUUCGCCAUGCACUUUGUAUCCACAAUAUCCACAUGUUUUGGGGCGUUUUGAGUCUGUGUCGCUCUGUUUUGGAGUUAUGUCUCUCUCCGUUCCGAAACGCUCUCUCUGGGCACCGGAGGUGUGCUUUGAUGUCUGCCUGACUGCGUGCACUGCUUGUUCACGUGAUGCGCUCGUGCUGCGGCGCGAAAUGGUUUUCAUCUGAGCCUGUGCUAGCUCGUGAGAUCUGGUUAUGUCGAUAGCUUUGUCCAGCGUUAGCUCAGACCCAACAUUCAAAAGUUUCUCUCUCACUCGCGGUGAGUGUAUUCCAAAUACAAUACGGUCCCUGACCAUCUCAUCCUUGUUUGCAUAAUCACAGUCUUUCACAAGCAGACGCAGCUCAGUCACAAACUGUUCAAAAGACUCGCUAGCUCCCUGUACUUUCUCAUGGAAUUUGUACCUAGCGAAAAUUGUAUUAGUCUUCGGCACAACAUAUGCUUCAAAACGAUCGUAGUAUGUUUUCAGUACCUUUGAUUCAGCCUCGGGGACCCGUGAACAUUAGCUCCACAUGCUGUUUGUACUUACGCCAUGCAUCGGGCAUUGGAAAACCUCCCUGGUCUUCGUCGUUGAAUCUGUGCUUGAAAUUCACUGCUGACUGAGGGACCUUAUAAAAUUAUCUGUAACUGGGGGUACGGAGAUGAGGUAGUCAUUUUUAAAAAUCAUGUUAAACACUAUUAUUGCACAGAGUGAGUCCAUGCAACUUAUCUGACUUGUUAAGCAGAUUUUUACUCCUGAACCUUUUUAGGUUUGUCAUAACAAAGGGGUUGAAUACUUAUUGAAUCAAGACAUUUCAGCUUUUCAUUUUUUAUUAAUUUGUGAACAUUCCACUUUGACAUUAUGGGGUAUUGAGUGUAAAUCAGUGAUACAAAAUCAACAUGUUAUCAAUUUUAAAUUCAGGCUGUAACACAACAAAAUGUUGAAAAUGUCAAGGGGUGUGAAUACUUAAUGAAGGCACUGUAGCACCUUUAGUUCCU